rnacentral:rRNA from 1 species
CCUACGGGUGGCAGCAGUGGGGAAUAUUGGGCAAUGGGCGCAAGCCUGAACCAGCAACGCCGCGUGAAGGAAGAAGGCGCUCAGCAUUUAAAAUUCUUUUAUUCAGGGCGCAAAAUAAGACGGUACUUCAUGAAUAAGCGACGGCGAACUACGUGCCAGCAGCCGCGGCAAUACGUCGGUUGCAAGCGUUAUGCGGAUUUAAUGGUUGUAAAGGGGGUGUAGGCGGGACUGCAAGUCAGGUGUGAAAAACACGGGCUCAACCCACGGCCUGCAUUUGAAACUGGAGUUCUUGAGUGGUGGAGAGGCAGGCGGAAUUCCGGGUGUAGCGGUGAAAUGCGUAGAUAUUGGGAGGAACACCAGUGGCGAAGGCGGCCUGCUGGACAAUAACUGACGCUGAGGCGCGAAAGCGUGGGGAGCGAACAGGAUUAGAUACCCUGGUAGUC